rnacentral:misc_RNA from 1 species
CACCAAAACGCCUCUGCUCUUGCUCGCUGCAUCCGCUUCAUGAAUAAUCCGGGCUAGGAUCCAAAAUUUUGCAUCGCCUGUGGAGUUUUGGAUAUAAUCCCGGUCGAAUUUUACAAGAGACGAACAUGACUCGUUGAAAAUCGAGCCAGUUUCGUGUGCUUCGCCUUCAUCUUUUUUCCGGAACAAGAACUGCAAGGCCAAAGACGAAACACUUGAGCUGCUCCCACGGAUAUUCGGCCGGAAUGACCUUCAGACUCAGAUCAGGCAAAUUAGCUAGCCUACUCUGCAACUGGAAAUGCUGGGACUCUAAGUCGGACCGC